GACGAACGCUGGCGGCGUGCUUAACACAUGCAAGUCGAACGGAAAGGCCCUGCUUUUGUGGGGUGCUCGAGUGGCGAACGGGUGAGUAACACGUGAGUAACCUGCCCUUGACUUUGGGAUAACUUCAGGAAACUGGGGCUAAUACCGGAUAGGAGCUCCUGCUGCAUGGUGGGGGUUGGAAAGUUUCGGCGGUUGGGGAUGGACUCGCGGCUUCUCGGCUUGUUGGUGGGGUAGUGGCUUACCAAGGCUUUGACGGGUAGCCGACCUGAGAGGGUGACCGGCAACCCGGGAACUGAGAAGCGGUCAAGAAUCGUACGGGAGGCAGCAGAAGGGAAGGGGCCGCAAUGGGGGAAAGCCUGACGGAGCAACGCCGCGUGAGGGAUGAAGGUCUUCGGAGCGUAAAACUCUGUUAUGAGGGAAGAACAAAUGUGUAAGUAACUAUGCACGUAGUGACGGGACCUAGUCAGAAAGCCACGGCUAACUACGUG
rnacentral:rRNA from 1 species